CUUUUGUCCGUCUUCCUCCACUACACAAGUUCGCCGGCCAUUCUCCAUCAUCAUGGGUUCGUUCUCCGUUCGUCGUCAUUCGCCAUUCUCCAUUCUCUGUGGGUUCGUUCGAAAGUCCAAUCUUUGAUUCUCCGUUCUCCGUGGGUUCCUCUCUCCUUUUGCUGCAAAAUUUUCAGGCCAGGCCAAUCUCGAUUCUCAUCGUGGGUCUUCUAUUACUCUUCUUGGUGGCCACUACCAAGAUGAUGUGACUCGUUUAUGGUACGACAGGCGAUCAAGAUGGCAAGUCAAACGUUGAUUGUCUUUCGCUACUUGAGAGGGAGAUAAAACAAAACAUUUGAAAUACUAGACAAAAGUGUAUAGUGAAUGGAGUUUUCUACCAACAUAUUUAAUAAGUCAAUUUCUAUUAUAACGCGUUGUAACCCAUUUCGCCAAAUUAUGUAAUAUAAAUAGUUAUGUGUUUCAAUAAUAAAAUAUUGAGUCCAAAUCUAAUCA